UUGCUUCCUCUUUAAAGUAUGGUUCUUUUACUCCUUUUCUCAACUUCAUUAAUUGAUCUGCAGGAUGGUUAGGUAAGAGGAACAUAUUAUGGGUAACACCAUGUUGUUCACAGAUUACUGUGAUAAUGCAAAGUUAUUAUAAGCCUAAAAGAAAACGGUAUUCUGUGUGAUACAGACUUUCCUAAGGGCAAAUAUGCGUUUUUCCCCCUUGUUAUGUCUGUAGCUGUUAGGUAAAUGUUGCCUGACCAUGUUUAGUUCAUUCUGCUCCAUUUUUCCACUCAAAAUUUGCAUAGUAGGUUCUGUUCUCUUAGAUUUGUUUCAGAAAUACUGUAUUGAAGUGUAGAAGUGUAAAUGUUCUCAUCCUGAGUUACAGCUUAAGCAGCUGAGCACACUAAGUAAAAAAACAACUUUCACAGCAGCUAUUUUGUGGGUAUUAUGCAAGAUGUUCUGUGCUUUGAUAUAACAGCUCCUAAAGAAAGUGUAUUGCAACAUGAAUUUAUACCAAAACUUUAUGCACUUAGUCUGGUAAAACAUGCUGGGGGUGGGGAAGAGAGCAAGCUGUUGUAAACUCCUAUAAAGUACAGAAAACUUCUGCUUUCCCUCCUUUCUAACAAGUGUAAACUAUUGAGGUUAAGUAGGUGGGGCAACCGGAAGUAAUUACUAAGGCCAGUGGCAUUUUUGCGGUUUAAUAAAGGCAGAGGCUAAUUAUUCAGUUUUUAUUUAAGUGAAAUGAUGCCAAAAAGGAGGUUCCUGCAGAGCAGCUGCACUCCUUCAGUGUUACCCUAAUUUACCACAGACACAACUGUCACAAACAGAACUUUUAAACUUGAUAUAUAGCCACGAAAGUAAGGAGUCCUUUGUCUGGAGUGCAUGCAGAAGAACUCCUUUAUACAAAUCAACCGGCAGAUGACGGACAAUGAUGAAAAUUUGAUUCUUUGAAGUCAUAAUGGUCAUUGAAAUGUGUGAAAUUCUGGUAUUGAAAAGAGAGCGGCUAGCAAGACUCUAAAUCCUGGGUGGUUGCUGGAAGCUUGCUGGGAGGUUUUUCUGUGUUUUGACAUCAACUUCCCAUUACUUGUUCCCUGUUUCCUUUAUUAAAAAAAAGGGGGGGGUGUGUGCUUAACAGUAGAUAGUUGAUAGUGGUUAUAUACAGUUUUAGUCUAUGCAUGGAAAGAAAUGUCAUAGGAGAAACAUGACUCCUUUAUGCACACCUGACCAAUCUAUUGAAAAACACUAGUUUUCAGAGAUGCUUUCAUUACUUUGUCCUUUCCCCUGAGUUAACAGAUUCCAUUUCUUGUCCCAUUCGGAAUUUGGGCUGUUAGUGGAGUCCUUAAAGAAGGAAGUUCUUGGUUCCUUUAAAAGUCAUGCUUUCAUUGACACGGCCUCUGUGAACCAGUUUUUUCCCUGCUGGAUAGCACAUGCAUCAUAUUACUCUUUCCAGAACAGUUUUACAAGGCUUUCCAGUAUGACAGGUGUUCUCAGAUAGUGUAAGUUAUAGUAAAGACAAAACCUCCUCUUCUUUUGUAAGCAAUUUAAUGUGAUUUCUGCUAUUAAAAAAAAAAAAAAAGUGGUUUGACCCUCUCAGCUUAUUCUAAGAAAAGCCAAAGUGCUUCAAAAGGGUAUUUUAAUUAAAAAUAAAAAUAAGAACAAUAGGCUGCUAUUAAAUCUUCCCCUCUGUAUAUUAAGAAAAAUGGAAUGUUAAAAUGCACCUUUUAGAUGAUAGGCUGUGUUAAAAAUGUGAAGCAGGUUGUUAAUUUUUAGUAAAGCAAACCUAUACAGUUCAAAUCUCAAGCCUUUUAUAAUGUCACCUUAUUAUUUAGACUUGUGAAUGCUGAACACCUCACUAAUACUUUAAUAUGCUAAUAUUGCAAAAUUCAGUAUGGAACACUUAAAA